rnacentral:misc_RNA from 1 species
CGGUACUUUAUAAACUGAAGAGUAUACUCAUGGCACAAUUCGCGAAUUGGGUAUUGCGAGGAAUCCAAAAUCUUGGGGAAAUCAGAAGGAAGGGGUUUGCAUUGGGAUCUGGAAAGAGGAUUGAAUAAACGCAUCCUCUGUGGAUUUUCGCGAUCGAGCUUGAUGAUCCAUCCAUGGUUAUUAGUUUGAUUAGGUGGAUGGAUAAGGUAGAGGGGUGAUUUGGAGAGUUUAAAACCCCAGCUAUUUUCAGCGAUGCCGUCAUUGGGGAGAAUGGGAAAACGGGAAAGGGAAGACGGGUAGGGUUUAGGAGGAAGAGAGGAAUUGGUAAUCAAAAAAGAAAGAAAAUUACAAGAAGAAAGAGUAGUGCCAAUGGCAUCUCCAUUAACACCGUCAAAUUGGUCGACGAUUUGGGAUGGAACAGGUAUUUUUGAGGUGCCACCAUUGUCACCCUUGUCUCAGCUUGUAAUGAUAUAAUUUUGGAUUAUAAGUAUUUGAUGAAUAUGCACCUGACUAAGUCUGAGGUGAAUUAGGAUUAUAAUUAUGUGUCUCUUUGGAUCUUUUAUCUUUAAUAAUUUCAUUCAUUAAGCGUUAUUUAAUGUAAAUAAGCAAUCAAUCUUAUAUUUGUUCAAUCUUAUAAUAUA